CUCCAGACUCCUACGGGAGGCAGCAGUGGGGGAUAUUGCACAAUGGGGGAAACCCUGAUGCAGCGACGCCGCGUGAAGGAAGAAGUAUUUCGGUAUGUAAACUUCUAUCAGCAGGGAAGAAAAUGACGGUACCUGACUAAGAAGCCCCGGCUAACUACGUGCCAGCAGCCGCGGUAAUACGUAGGGGGCAAGCGUUAUCCGGAUUUACUGGGUGUAAAGGGAGCGUAGACGGCGAUGCGAGCCGGGAGUGAAAGCCCGGGGCCCAACCCCGGGACUGCUCUUGGAACUGCGUGGCUGGAGUGCAGGAGGGGCAGGCGGAAUUCCUGGUGUAGCGGUGAAAUGCGUAGAUAUCAGGAGGAACACCGGUGGCGAAGGCGGCCUGCUGGACUGCAACUGACGUUGAGGCCCGAAAGCGUGGGGAGCAAACAGGAUUAGAUACCCGAGUA
rnacentral:rRNA from 1 species